rnacentral:rRNA from 1 species
GUUCCUUGGAAAAGGACAGCUGAGAGGGUGACACUCCCGUCCGCCUGGUAGAGUGAGUCUUUGUCAACGAGUCGAGUUGUUUGGGAUUGCAGCUCUAAUUUGGUGGUAAAUUCCAUCUAAAGCUAAAUAUUGGUGGGAGACCGAUAGCGUACAAGUACCGUGAGGGAAAGAUGCAAAGAACUUUGAAAAGAGAGUUAAAGAGUACCUGAAAUUGCUGAAACGGAAGCGAAGGAAACCAGUGUUUGUUGGUUCAUAUUUCCCUUGUCACUUGUGAUGCGGGCGCUGUGAGCUUGCGUGGGUUUGCUUUGGUUGAUUCCUUUGGAAGAGCGCAGUCAGAGUUGAUGUCU